UGACAAUAAUAAAAAAUGGGUGACCAACCACCUUUAUAAACAAGUUACAUCAAAUCAAAAAAUCAAUUAAGAUGCAACAUGUUAGCAUUAGCAUUUUUGGCAAUCAUAUUGACAAGUUAAACUAUCUCACGGCUAUGAAAGUGUACAGAGAUUUGAGAAUUAACAUUCAACUAAAUAUUAUCAAUCUUAGCCAAAGCCAAUCAAACUUAUUCAGUUUCAAAUAACAAUACAAUAAUGGAGGUCAAAGGGGAAGAUAAAGUAACAACUCUUCUUCUUUGAGCAGGCAGAAGUGUAAAGUAAGAAGAGAGGUUUUUUAUUUUAGUGGGCCGAAAAUUGAUAUAAAGCCCAAGGCUUUAUUUAUAAUUUGCAAUUUAGAUUAUAGCCCAAACCGCUUAUGUGUUGUUCCACGAAAUUCGAAUACGAAAAUUAACGAAAAUUAAAAACACAGUGUUUUGACGUGUUAUCGGAAACUCAGCCUAUUUCACGUCCGAGGAAUGAUUAUCUCGAGAGUUAUAUUAUUAUUACAAAUAAAAUAA
rnacentral:lncRNA from 1 species